rnacentral:misc_RNA from 1 species
GAUGAAGAACGCAGCAAAAUGCGAUAAGUAAUGUGAAUUGCAGAAUACAGUGAAUCAUCGAAUCUUUGAACGCACAUUGCGCCCGCCAGUAUUCUGGCGGGCAUGCCUGUUCGAGCGUCAUUUCAACCCUCAAGCACAGCUUGGUGUUGGGACUCGCGUUAAUUCGCGUUCCUCAAAUUGAUUGGCGGUCACGUCGAGCUUCCAUAGCGUAGUAGUAAAACCCUCGUUACUGGUAAUCGUCGCGGCCACGCCGUUAAACCCCAACUUCUGAAUGUUGACCUCGGAUCAGGUAGGAAUACCCGCUGAACUUAAGCAUAUCAAUAAGCGGAGGA